rnacentral:rRNA from 1 species
GUGGGGAAUCUUGCGCAAUGGGCGAAAGCCUGACGCAGCCAUGCCGCGUGGAUGAUGAAGGUCUUAGGAUUGUAAAAUCCUUUCACCGGUGAAGAUAAUGACUGUAGCCGGAGAAGAAGCCCCGGCUAACUUCGUGCCAGCAGCCGCGGUAAUACGAAGGGGGCUAGCGUUGCUCGGAAUUACUGGGCGUAAAGGGAGCGUAGGCGGACAUUUAAGUCAGGGGUGAAAUCCCGAGGCUCAACCUCGGAACUGCCUUUGAUACUGGGUGUCUUGAGUGUGAGAGAGGUGAGUGGAACUCCGAGUGUAGAGGUGAAAUUCGUAGAUAUUCGGAAGAACACCAGUGGCGAAGGCGACUCACUGGCUCAUUACUGACGCUGAGGCUCGAAAGCGUGGGGAGCAAACAGGAUUAGAUACCCUUGUAGUCC